rnacentral:lncRNA from 1 species
CAGCAGUAGGGUAGAAGCAGUAGUAGUUAGCAGCAGUAGGUAGCAGCAGUAGGUAGCAGCAGUAGGUAGCAGCGGCAGGUAGCAGCGGUAGAUAGCAGCGGUAGGUAGCAGCGGUAGGUAGCAGCAGUAGGGUACAAGCAGUUGGUAGCAGUGAUAGGGUAGCAGCAGUAGAUAGCAGCAGUAGGUAGCAGCGGUAGGGUAGCAGCGGUAGGGUAGAAGCAGUAGGGUAGCAGCUGUAGGUAGCAGCAGUAAAUAGCAGCAGUAGGGUAGCAGCAGUAGGGUAGAGCGGUAGGGUAGAAGCGGUAGGGUAGCAGCGGUAGGUAGCAGCGGUAGGGUAGCAGCGGUAGGGUAGUAGCAGUAGGGUAGCAGAAGUAGGUAGCAGCAGUAGGGUAGCAGCAGUAGGGUAGCAGAAGUAGGGUAGCAGCAGUAGGGUAGUAGAAGUAGGGUAGCAGCAGUAGGGUAGAAGCAGUAGGGUAGAAGCAGUAGGGUAGCAGCAGUAGGUAGAAGCAGUAGGUAGCAGCAGUCGGUAGCAGCUGUAGGGUAGAAGCAGUAGGGUAGCAGCAGUAGGUAGCAGCAGUAGGUAGCAGCAGUAGGGUAGCAGCAGUAGGUAGCAGCAGUAGGGUAGCAGCAGUCGGUAGCAGCAGUAGGGUAGCAGCAGUAGGUAGCAGCAGUAGGUAGCAGCAGUAGGGUAGCAGAAGUAGGGUAGCAGCAGUAGGGUAGCAGCAGUAGGUAGCAGCAGUAGGUAGCAGCAGUAGGGUAGCAGAAGUAGGGUAGCAGCAGUAGGGUAGAAGCAGUAGCAGUAGGGUAGCAGCAGUAGGGUAGCAGCAGUAGGGUAGAAGAAGUAGGUAGCAGCAGUAGGGUAGCAGAAGUAGGGUAGCAGCAGUAGGGUAGAAGCAGCAGGGUAGAAGCAGCAGGGUAGCAGAGGUAGGGUAGAAGAAGCAGGGUAGCACAGUAGAUAGCAGCAGGGUAGCAGCAGUAGGGUAGAAGCAGUAGGGUAGGAGCAGUAGGGUAGAAGCAGCAGGGUAGCAGAAGCAGGGUAGAAGCAGUAGGGUAGAAGAAGUAGGGUAGGAGUAGUAGGGUAGAAGAAGCAGGGUAGCAGAAGCAGGGUAGCAGAGGUCAGUAAGUUGUCGUGUUGUCGUGUUGAAACAACUCCGCCAGGUCGAUCAUUUAGCUAGCUAGCGACAUUGUUUGUGAUAUCGAAAGUCAC